UGCCCAGCAAUUCCUGUCUCUACCUCCUCGCGGUACCGGCAAGAAACUAUGAGCAACCUUAGGGAAGAUCGGAUAACCAACCCCGGUGGGAACUUUGGUCGUAGGCUGACAGGGAAGG
rfam:Aedes albopictus isolate Foshan contig157954, whole genome shotgun sequence.